CUCCCUCUCUCUCUCUCUCUCUCUCUCUCUUUCGCGCUCUCUCUUUCUGCCGUUACUGAGGGGAAUAAGCUGUUAGCGUGCUGCAUUCACGGGUGCUCUGACAAUGAGAGAUGCAUUCAGGUGCUCUCAGAAACGGGAGUUGCAGAGACGGUGUUUCGUCGCCGCUUACCCUCCACCAGUUGAAAGCGUCCACCGGAAGGUUGUAUUUCGUCGACAGAAAUGGUUCCACCGAUUUGUCGAAACGCUUCACAAACCACUGAUCAUCUUCUGGAAAA